CCUACGGGUGGCAGCAGUGGGGAAUAUUGCACAAUGGGGGAAACCCUGACGCAGCGACGCCGCGUGAGCGAUGAAGUAUUUCGGUAUGUAAAGCUCUAUCAGCAGGGAAGAAAAUGACGGUACCUGACUAAGAAGCCCCGGCUAACUACGUGCCAGCAGCCGCGGUAAUACGUAGGGGGCAAGCGUUAUCCGGAUUUACUGGGUGUAAAGGGAGCGUAGACGGGGGUGCAAGCCAGAUGUGAAAGCCCGGGGCUCAACCCCGGGACUGCAUUUGAAACUGUGCUGCUAGAGUGUCGGAGAGGCAGGCGGAAUUCGUGGUGUAGCGGUGAAAUGCGUAGAGAUUAGGAGGAACACCGGUGGCGAAGGCGGCCUGCUGGACCAUGACUGACGUUGAGGCACGAAAGCGUGGGGAGCAAACAGGAUUAGAUACCCGUGUAGUC
rnacentral:rRNA from 1 species